rfam:Flavobacterium fryxellicola strain DSM 16209 FBFR16, whole genome shotgun sequence.
CCUUAGCCCGGAUGGGAGCGGCAUCCUUUUAUAUUUCGUUUUUUAACGAGAUAUAAAAGAUAUAGUGUACAGCCGGAAAUAGC